UACGUAGGGGGCAAGCGUUGUCCGGAAUCAUUGGGCGUAAAGAGCGUGUAGGCGGUCCGGUAAGUCGGCUGUGAAAGUCCAGGGCUCAACCCUGGGAUGCCGGUCGAUACUGCCGGACUAGAGUCCGGAAGAGGCAAGUGGAAUUCCCGGUGUAGCGGUGAAAUGCGCAGAUAUCAGGAAGAACACCAAUGGCGAAGGCAGCUCUCUGGGACGGUACUGACGCUGAGACGCGAAAGCGUGGGGAGCGAACAGG
rnacentral:rRNA from 1 species